CACGGGGGGCCUACGGGAGGCAGCAGUGGGGAAUCUUGCGCAAUGGGCGAAAGCCUGACGCAGCAACGCCGCGUGCGGGAUGAAGGCCUUCGGGCUGUAAACCGCUUUCAGCAGGAACGAAAAUGACGGUACCUGCAGAAGAAGGAGCGGCCAAAUACGUGCCAGCAGCCGCGGUGACACGUAGGCUCCCAGCGUUGUCCGGAUUUAUUUGGCGUAAAGAGCUUGUAGGCGGUUUAGUAAGUCGGGUGUGAAAACUCUGGGCUUAACCCGGAGACGCCAUCCGAUACUGCUCUGACUAGAGUUCAGGAGGGGAGUGGGGAAUUCCUAGUGUAGCGGUGAAAUGCGCAGAUAUUAGGAGGAACACCGGUGGCGAAGGCGCCACUCUGGACUGAAACUGACGCUGAGGAGCGAAAGCAUGGGUAGCAAACAGGAUUAGAUACCCUGGUAGUCCAUGCCGUAAACGGUGGGCACCUAGGUGUGGGUUCCAACUAACGGGAUCCGCGCCGUAGCUAACGCAUUAAGUGCCCCGCCUGGAGACCCAAU
rnacentral:rRNA from 1 species